GGGUCGGUGCCCGAGUGGUUAAUGGGGGUGGACUGUAAAUCCACUGGCUCUGCCUACGUUGGUUCAAAUCCAACCCGGCCCA
rnacentral:tRNA from 23 species